rnacentral:snRNA from 1 species
AACAUUCACUUAGGGCAGUAUCAUAGCCAAUGAGGUUAAUCCGAGGUGCAAUUAUUGCUAGUUGAAAACUUUCCUGUUGACUAAGUCUAAGCAGCUCCUCAGUUCAAGUGUGCUUUGUAUUAGUCUUGAUUCACUUAACUCUUACUGUAGG